UACCUUCCCAUUUUAAGGUAUCAUUUCUGUUCUCUAGACAUCAAUAUAUAUUGAAGCUAAUUUACCUAAAAGGUUGUUACUAACCAUCAGUAUUGUUAAAAAUGAAACUUGAGAUUUCAGAAGUCUUAAAUUUCAUCCCAAAAAUCUAAGGAUUAAGGAAUAUGCUAAGGGCAAGUUAAGUGGGCUUUACCAAAACCCAGUGAUGUGCACAAUGAAAAGAUUGAGUGUUGUCUUUUAGGCUUUUACUUCGCCUCCAAGAUCAGAAGCAAUAGUAUCUUCUAGUCUGCCAGCCAACAAAAAAGAAUAAAAUUAUAGUGUUAUAAAACAG